AUCAUGGCUCAGGAUGAACGCUAGCUACAGGCUUAACACAUGCAAGUCNCGGGGUAACAUCUGGUAGAGCUUGCUCUUCCAGGAUGACGACCGGCGCACGGGUGAGUAACGCGUAUCCAACCUGGCCCAUACCACGGGAUAGCCCGUCGAAAGGCGGAUUAAUACCGUAUGCUGUCAUUAAGAUGCAUAUAUUGAUGACGAAAGGACUGGCGGUAUGGGAUGGGGAUGCGUCUGAUUAGCUUGUUGGCGGGGUAACGGCCCACCAAGGCGACGAUCAGUAGGGGUUCUGAGAGGAAGGUCCCCCACAUUGGAACUGAGACACGGUCCAAACUCCUACGGGAGGCAGCAGUGGGGAAUAUUGGUCAAUGGGCGGAAGCCUGAACCAGCCAAGUAGCGUGCAGGACGACGGCCCUAUGGGUUGUAAACUGCUUUUAUGCGGGGAUAAAGUGGGCCACGUGUGGCCUUUUGCAGGUACCGCAUGAAUAAGGACCGGCUAAUUCCGUG
rnacentral:rRNA from 1 species